UAUCUCGAUAAACCGUGAAAAUGGAACGAAUAAUCAUAGCCGCCCUCCUGACAAUCUUUGUUUGCUGCUCGACCGCGUCGCCCGAUGAGCACAUUGUUAGUGGAUCUGAUGCUGGACAGUGUGAGUUUCCUCACAUGGCUUACUUAACAAUUAAAAUGAGAGGAAG
rnacentral:lncRNA from 1 species